rnacentral:rRNA from 1 species
GAUGAACGCUAGCGGCAGGCUUAAUACAUGCAAGUCGAGGGGCAACAGGGGUAGCAAUACCUGCUGGCGACCGGCAAACGGGUGCGGAACACGUACAGAACCUUCCUUUAAGCGGGGGAGUAGCCCGGGACGGAAAUACCGGACUUAAAUUACCCCACUAGUAAUAUUGACUGGCAUCAGUUGGUAUUUAAAGAUUUAUCACUUAAAGAUGGCUGUGCGGCUGAUUAGGUAGUUGGUGAGGGAACGGCCCACCAAGCCAGCGAUCAGUAACUGGUGUGAGAGCACGACCAGUCACACGGGC